rnacentral:rRNA from 1 species
UGGGGAAUUUUCCGCAAUGGGCGAAAGCCUGACGGAGCAAUGCCGCGUGGAGGUGGAAGGCCUACGGGCAGUCAACUUUCUUUUCUCGGAGAAGAAACAAUGACGGUAUCUGAGGAAUAAGCAUCGGCUAACUCUGUGCCAG